CUUCGGGUUGUAAAGCACUUUUGGCAGGAAAGAAAUCGCACGGGUUAAUACCCUGUGUGGAUGACGGUACCUGCAGAAUAAGCACCGGCUAACUACGUGCCAGCAGCCGCGGUAAUACGUAGGGUGCAAGCGUUAAUCGGAAUUACUGGGCGUAAAGCGUGCGCAGGCGGUUCGGAAAGAAAGAUGUGAAAUCCCAGGGCUUAACCUUGGAACUGCAUUUUUAACUGUCGAGCUAGAGUGCGUCAGAGGGGGGUGGAAUUCCGCGUGUAGCAGUGAAAUGCGUAGAGAUGCGGAGGAACACCGAUGGCGAAGGCAGCCCCCUGGGAUGACACUGACGCUCAUGCACGAAAGCGUGGGGAGCAAACAGGAUUAGAUACCCUGGUAGUCCACGCCCUAAACGAUGUCAACUAGCUGUUGGGGCUUUCGGGCCUUGGUAGCGCAGCUAACGCGUGAAGUUGACCGCCUGGGGAGUACGGUCGC
rnacentral:rRNA from 1 species